CGGCGAGUGAAGCGGCAAUAGCUCAAAUUUGAAAUCUGGCUCUGCUCUAGGGUCCGAGUUGUAAUUUGUAGAGGGUGCUUUGGCACUGAUGGCGGUCUAAGUUCCUUGGAACAGGACAUCACAGAGGGUGAGAAUCCCGUACGUGGUCGCUAAUCUUUGCCGUGUAAAGCCCCUUCAACGAGUCGAGUUGUUUGGGAAUGCAGCUCUAAAUGGGAGGUAAAUUUCUUCUAAAGCUAAAUAUUGGCCAGAGACCGAUAGCGCACAAGUAGAGUGAUCGAAAGAUGAAAAGCACUUUGGAAAGAGAGUCAAAAAGCACGUGAAAUUGUUGAAAGGGAAGCGCUUGCCGCCAGACUUGUCUGCAGUUGCUCACCUAGGCGUUCAGCCUGGGGCACUCUUCUGUAGGCAGGCCAGCAUCAGUUUGGGCAGCCGGAUAAAGGUCUCUGACACGUUCCUUCUACCUUUGUGUAGAUGGCCAUAUAGGGGAGACGUCAUGCGGUUAGCCUGGACUGAGGUCCGCGCAUUGCUAGGAUGCUGGCGUAAUGGCUGCAAGCGGCCCGUCUUGAAACACGGACCAAGGAGUCUAACAUCUAUGCGAGUGUUUGGGUGUCAAGCCCGAGCGCGCAAUAAACGUGAACGGAGGUGGGAACUCUCUCUUGGGGGUGCACCAUCGACCGAUCCUGAUGUCUUCGGAUGGAUUUGAGUAAGAGCAUAGCUGUUGGGACCCGAAAGAUGGUGAACUAUGCUUGAAUAGGGUGAAGCCAGAGGAAACUCUGGUGGAGGCUCGCAGCGGUUCUGACGUGCAAAUCGAUCGUCAAAUUUGG
rnacentral:rRNA from 1 species